rnacentral:rRNA from 1 species
UUAAGCGACUAAGCGUACACGGUGGAUGCCCUGGCAGUCAGAGGCGAUGAAGGACGUGCUAAUCUGCGAUAAGCGUCGGUGAGGUGAUAUGAACCGUUAUAACCGGCGAUUUCCGAAUGGGGAAACCCAGUGUGUUUCGACACACUAUCAUUAACUGAAUCCAUAGGUUAAUGAGGCGAACCGGGGGAACUGAAACAUCUAAGUACCCCGAGGAAAAGAAAUCAACCGAGAUUCCCCCAGUAGCGGCGAGCGAACGGGGAGGAGCCCAGAGCCUGAAUCAGUGUGUGUGUUAGUGGAAGCGUCUGGAAAGGCGCGCGAUACAGGGUGACAGCCCCGUACACAAAAAUGCACAUGCUGUGAGCUCGAUGAGUAGGGCGGGACACGUGGUAUCCUGUCUGAAUAUGGGGGGACCAUCCUCCAAGGCUAAAUACUCCUGACUGACCGAUAGUGAACCAGUACCGUGAGGGAAAGGCGAAAAGAACCCCGGUGAGGGGAGUGAAAAAGAACCUGAAACCGUGUACGUACAAGCAGUGGGAGCCUCUUUAUGGGGUGACUGCGUACCUUUUGUAUAAUGGGUCAGCGACUUAUAUUCUGUAGCAAGGUUAACCGAAUAGGGGAGCCGAAGGGAAACCGAGUCUUAACUGGGCGUUAAGUUGCAGGGUAUAGACCCGAAACCCGGUGAUCUAGCCAUGGGCAGGUUGAAGGUUGGGUAACACUAACUGGAGGACCGAACCGACUAAUGUUGAAAAAUUAGCGGAUGACUUGUGGCUGGGGGUGAAAGGCCAAUCAAACCGGGAGAUAGCUGGUUCUCCCCGAAAGCUAUUUAGGUAGCGCCUCGUGAAUUCAUCUCCGGGGGUAGAGCACUGUUUCGGCAAGGGGGUCAUCCCGACUUACCAACCCGAUGCAAACUGCGAAUACCGGAGAAUGUUAUCACGGGAGACACACGGCGGGUGCUAACGUCCGUCGUGAAGAGGGAAACAACCCAGACCGCCAGCUAAGGUCCCAAAGUCAUGGUUAAGUGGGAAACGAUGUGGGAAGGCCCAGACAGCCAGGAUGUUGGCUUAGAAGCAGCCAUCAUUUAAAGAAAGCGUAAUAGCUCACUGGUCGAGUCGGCCUGCGCGGAAGAUGUAACGGGGCUAAACCAUGCACCGAAGCUGCGGCAGCGACACUAUGUGUUGUUGGGUAGGGGAGCGUUCUGUAAGCCUGCGAAGGUGUGCUGUGAGGCAUGCUGGAGGUAUCAGAAGUGCGAAUGCUGACAUAAGUAACGAUAAAGCGGGUGAAAAGCCCGCUCGCCGGAAGACCAAGGGUUCCUGUCCAACGUUAAUCGGGGCAGGGUGAGUCGACCCCUAAGGCGAGGCCGAAAGGCGUAGUCGAUGGGAAACAGGUUAAUAUUCCUGUACUUGGUGUUACUGCGAAGGGGGGACGGAGAAGGCUAUGUUGGCCGGGCGACGGUUGUCCCGGUUUAAGCGUGUAGGCUGGUUUUCCAGGCAAAUCCGGAAAAUCAAGGCUGAGGCGUGAUGACGAGGCACUACGGUGCUGAAGCAACAAAUGCCCUGCUUCCAGGAAAAGCCUCUAAGCAUCAGGUAACAUCAAAUCGUACCCCAAACCGACACAGGUGGUCAGGUAGAGAAUACCAAGGCGCUUGAGAGAACUCGGGUGAAGGAACUAGGCAAAAUGGUGCCGUAACUUCGGGAGAAGGCACGCUGAUAUGUAGGUGAAGCGACUUGCUCGUGGAGCUGAAAUCAGUCGAAGAUACCAGCUGGCUGCAACUGUUUAUUAAAAACACAGCACUGUGCAAACACGAAAGUGGACGUAUACGGUGUGACGCCUGCCCGGUGCCGGAAGGUUAAUUGAUGGGGUUAGCGGUAACGCGAAGCUCUUGAUCGAAGCCCCGGUAAACGGCGGCCGUAACUAUAACGGUCCUAAGGUAGCGAAAUUCCUUGUCGGGUAAGUUCCGACCUGCACGAAUGGCGUAAUGAUGGCCAGGCUGUCUCCACCCGAGACUCAGUGAAAUUGAACUCGCUGUGAAGAUGCAGUGUACCCGCGGCAAGACGGAAAGACCCCGUGAACCUUUACUAUAGCUUGACACUGAACAUUGAGCCUUGAUGUGUAGGAUAGGUGGGAGGCUUUGAAGUGUGGACGCCAGUCUGCAUGGAGCCGGCCUUGAAAUACCACCCUUUAAUGUUUGAUGUUCUAACGUUGGCCCGUAAUCCGGGUUGCGGACAGUGUCUGGUGGGUAGUUUGACUGGGGCGGUCUCCUCCUAAAGAGUAACGGAGGAGCACGAAGGUUGGCUAAUCCUGGUCGGACAUCAGGAGGUUAGUGCAAUGGCAUAAGCCAGCUUGACUGCGAGCGUGACGGCGCGAGCAGGUGCGAAAGCAGGUCAUAGUGAUCCGGUGGUUCUGAAUGGAAGGGCCAUCGCUCAACGGAUAAAAGGUACUCCGGGGAUAACAGGCUGAUACCGCCCAAGAGUUCAUAUCGACGGCGGUGUUUGGCACCUCGAUGUCGGCUCAUCACAUCCUGGGGCUGAAGUAGGUCCCAAGGGUAUGGCUGUUCGCCAUUUAAAGUGGUACGCGAGCUGGGUUUAGAACGUCGUGAGACAGUUCGGUCCCUAUCUGCCGUGGGCGCUGGAGAACUGAGGGGGGCUGCUCCUAGUACGAGAGGACCGGAGUGGACGCAUCACUGGUGUUCGGGUUGUCAUGCCAAUGGCACUGCCCGGUAGCUAAAUGCGGAAGAGAUAAGUGCUGAAAGCAUCUAAGCACGAAACUUGCCCCGAGAUGAGUUCUCCCUGACUCCUUGAGAGUCCUGAAGGAACGUUGAAGACGACGACGUUGAUAGGCCGGGUGUGUAAGCGCAGCGAUGCGUUGAGCUAACCGGUACUAAUGAACCGUGAGGCUUAACCUU